AACGCGAAGAACCUUACCCACCUUUGACAUGUACGGAAUUUGCCAGAGAUGGCUCAGUGCUCGAAAGAGAACCGUAACACAGGUGCUGCAUGGCUGUCGUCAGCUCGUGUCGUGAGAUGUUGGGUUAAGUCCCGCAACGAGCGCAACCCUUGUCAUUAGUUGCUACAUUCAGUUGGGCACUCUAGUGAGACUGCCGGUGACAAACCGGAGGAAGGUGGGGAUGACGUCAAGUCCUCAUGGCCCUUAUAGGUGGGGCUACACACGUCAUACAAUGGCUGGUACAAAGGGUUGCCAACCCGCGAGGGGGAGCUAAUCCCAUAAAACCAGUCGUAGUCCGGAUCGCAGUCUGCAACUCGACUGCGUGAAGUCGGAAUCGCUAGUAAUCGUGGAUCAGAAUGUCACUGUGAAUACGUUCCCGGGCCUUGUACACACCG
rnacentral:rRNA from 1 species